GAGCUUUUAAUCCUCCUACCUUUCAGCCCCUUGAGUUGCUGGGGUUAUGGGCAUGCACACAUGCCAGGCUGGUACUGCAUUUUCUUUAACACUUUGCCAUAUCCCCACACUUUGUAAUAUUAUUAAUCCUUUCUUGCAAAAGGCUGAAGUGAAUAGAAAAAAAAUUGCAAAACUUCAUUAUACAGAGAGUAAUACUGGUUUCUCAAUAUGAAACAAAAAAGUCUGUGUGUUGGGAACUAUGCCUUGCCUGUUUUUUUCUAAUGCUUUUGCAUUUAUUUUCUUUUUUUUUUUAAUAUUUAUUUAUUUAUUUAUUUUUAGUUUUCGGCGGACACAACAUCUUUGUUUGUAUGUGGUGCUGAGGAUCGAACCCGGGCUGCACGCAUGCCAGGCAAGCGCGCUACCACUUGAGCCACAUCCCCAGCCCUGCAUUUAUUUUCUUAAACCUUGUUUUUCCUCUACUUAUCUGAUGGGAUUACUAGGUUUCUGUUUUAUUUUAUUGAUUGGAUUUAUGUUUGGGAACCUGCCUCUGGUGACUAAGUGGAUAAUUGACAAGGCAGGGUAAGACUGGUGACAGGGAGAUGCUGCCCAGUGUAGUCGAGGUGGACACUGGGGCGGGCAUGGCUGAUGCAUGAAUGUUGGGAGGGAGUGUGGAGAGGAGAGAUCACUCACUGGUUUUUGGCAACAUGGGUGGUGCUGCUAAUUCAUUGGGGUGUGUUGGAGAAGGGAGUUUGUGGGGAAAGAUGAAUUCCUUAUCAUAUCUGUGAAAGACACCCAUGUUUGAUUAGGUUAAAUAGUAGAGUCUGGAGCUUAGGGGAGAGGUCAGGCACUAUGUCACAAGUGGAGGUACAGGGACUAAUGAGAUGUUUGCUGAAGAAAUAUAGCCUUGUGAAGGGCAGAGGUGAGAAGUUACAGUCAGGAACCAGGAGGCAAGAGGUAAAUCUUUAAAUGAGCAGCUACUUCAUGUCUAACAGAGCAAAAGUUUUUGUUCAUGAAGAAGCCAUCACUUCAUGAAACUGGACCGAUUUAGGCAUCAUGAGCCUCUGAGGUGGCACUUGAAGCUAUAGGGAAGAUGAGAAUGUCUGAGAAGAAGGGAGAGGACGUGGGAAUGUUAAGCACUGUGGGGAAGGGGAGAGGUCCAGACUGUAAUGAUGAAAUAGAGACUCAACUUGCCAGCAGCAUGACCGGCACAGGGUUGGAGGCCUGGGGGGGCUCAGGAUAUUUCUUAUCCUUGCGGUGAACUUACCUUGGAGCCUCAGAGGUAGCCACACCAGGACACACAGAAUGGUGGGUGCUUGGUUCCUUGCUAGCUGGUGCCUGAGCUCUGAGUAGGUUAUCAAGAGCUCAGAGGGGACUGGGUCCUCUGAAGCCCACUGUGGGAUGAGAGGAGGCUGAGCCUUAUCCAUGCUCUGCCUGUGGUACUUGGCGGUUAACCCUCCACGUGCUCCCAGAUUGCCUCCCACAUCCAUUCUGUAGUGUUCAUUCGUGGGACUGAUAUUAGGGAUCAGAGUGGGAGCUGCUUCACGGGAGAGAUCACAUCUCUUACUCAAAAUCCCAGCCAAUAGGGUGAGCUCAGGAAAUGCUGAUCUGUAACGAUUAUGCAUAAAUUGCUCUUGUUAAGCCUCUCUGUACAGUUGGGGGCUAGGCAGCAACAAACAGUGAGAAAGUGUUCGUUGAUGGGAGGGAUGUUAAGCUUUCAAAGGCCUAAUGAAUUACGUCAGUCUCAGUCCCUGGACCAGCUGCUUUGGUAAUUAGUGGGGGCCCCAGGCAGUAGAUGGAGGCCACGAGAUGGGUUUUCAGGCAGGCCCAGAAGAUGGGACCUGGCGGCUUUUCCUUUGGGAAAUCCUGGUCUCUCUUGGCACUUGGCCUGCCCUGUGUCAGUUCUCAUUUCCUCUUGGCCCAAGAUCUCUGUGAGCAGGUUUCUAAUCCCCCUCUCCAAGCCCUGAGUGCCUGUGGUAGCCCACUGGUGGUUUGCUUUUUUCUCAUCCAUGGCUCUAUUCAUUGAUUCCUUUUCCCAGCACCUCUUACCUCUUCUACUCCCCGAGUGCCUGUUCACCUAGGAAACCCAACUGUCACCUGUCCUGAGAUUACUCUGCUUCCUUCCUUCCUUCCUUUUUAAAUUUAUUUCUUAGAAAACCACAUAUGUUUAUCCUGUAUUUUUUUUUUUUUUUGAGCAUUCAAGACAGUGUCUUAAUUGUCACAGUAGACAUAUCCAGGACUAAAAGGGUUUUCCAAAUUGUUAUGAUUUGCAUUUUCCGGGAGAGGCGGGCAGGAGGAUACUAGUGAUUGAAUUCAGGAGUUUUUGACCACUGAGCCACGUCCCCAGUCCUAUUUUGUAUUUUAGUUAGAGACAGGGUCUCACUGAGCUGCUUUAGCACCACACCUUUGCUGAGGCUGGCUUUGAACUCGUGAUCCUCCUGCCUCAGCCUCCCGAGCAUUAGGAUUACAGAUGUGGGCCACUGCACCUGGCUUUCUUUUUAUUUUCAAUUAAUUAAUUUAGUUUUUUAGUUGUAGAUGGACAGAUGGAUACAAUACCUUUAUUUUAUUUAUUUAUUUGUAUGUGGUGCUGAGGAUCAAACCCAGAGCUUCACACAUGCCAGACAUGUGUGGCUUCACCCCAGCCCCAAAGACUUCAGUCAAAUCAUAUAUUGUCUCUGAACUAUGUAAGAUCUCAGCCCAAAUUAGGGUCCCUAGAAUCUAUGUUACAUUAGUUAUAAGCCCCCUGACGGAUCCAGGGGGUGCCUGAGAUGCUACCGGUGGCUCCUUGUGAGGGCUGGGCAAGGGGCAGCAUGAAGGUGGGCUGUGGCUGGCAAGCUCUGCCCAUAGCAGGUGCCCAUGCCUCAGUCUCCAGAAUCUCUGGAUCCUAGUCACCCAUUACACUAGCCCACUCUCCACAGCGAGUGUUGACCACUCUGAUUGUGAAACUGGUUGCAUGAUCUUGUUCCAUCUGCUUUGAUUUUCACUUGUAUGUUG
rnacentral:lncRNA from 1 species